GGGGCUACGGCUCAGUGGAAGAACCUUUUCUUUGCAUGUAGAAGGUCCCAGGGUCAAUCCCUGGCAACUCCA
rnacentral:tRNA from 1 species